GGUCAGAUGAUGUCCACAAAUU
rnacentral:miRNA from 1 species